UACGGGGGGGGCGAGCGUUGUUCGGAAUCACUGGGCGUAAAGGGCGCGUAGGCGGCCCGCACAAGUCUGCGGUGAAAACCCCCGGCUUAACCGGGGGCCGGCCGUGGAAACUGUCGGGCUGGAGGCUGGGAGAGGGCAGCGGAAUUCCCGGUGUAGCGGUGAAAUGCGUAGAGAUCGGGAGGAACACCGGCGGCGAGGGCGGCUGCCUGGACCAGUCCUGACGCUGAGGCGCGAAAGUGUGGGGAGCGAACAGG
rnacentral:rRNA from 1 species